AGACCUCUAAACUGCCAUCAGGCGUCAGUGGUUUGGACUAAUUCCUCAGCAAAUCUGCAGGACUUCUGAUGUUAAGACAGUGACAGAAGCCUCCAACAGAGGGCCUACAGCAGGAGAAUCCUACAAACCAAAACUAAGUCACCAGAUCCAGUCUGUAUCCAAAUCAGAGGGUCACUGCAGUCACCCAGAUCCAGUACGUAUCCAGCCUAUCUCUACUACAGCCCUGAAAGGCAGCAGAGACCAGGACAACUAGAGCCCCAGAUACAGAUCCCCUGUAAAGACCACCGAGACAAGACCACAGGAACCUGUUGAGUCCUCUGCACAAUGUGACUUUGUUGCAGCUUGGAAUUGAACUUCCUUCUGGCCAGAGGAAAACUUGGCCCCUGACUGAGCCUGGUUUCUCCCAAGGUUUUUUCUCCAUUCCGUCACUGAUGGAGUUUUGGUUCUGUGCUUCUGUCACCUCUGGCUUGCUUAGUUGGGAACACUUCCUUUACAGCGAUAUUGUUGACAUGAUUGCAAAUGAUUACACAGAUACUAUUUAAACUGAACUGAGCUGAAUGAUGACGUCACUGAAUUCAAUGAUGAACUGCCUUUAACUGUCAUUUUGCAUUAUUAACACUGUUUUCCUAAUUAAUGUUGUUCAGUUGCUUUGACACAAUCUGUUUUCUUUAAAGCGCUAUAUAAAUAAAGGCGACUAGACUUGACAUGA